CAGUCGCCGCGGUAAUACGUAGGGUGCAAGCGUUAAUCGGAAUUACUGGGCGUAAAGCGUGCGCAGGCGGUUAUAUAAGUCAGAUGUGAAAUCCCCGGGCUCAACCUGGGAACUGCAUUUGAGACUGUAUGGCUAGAGUGUGUCAGAGGGGGGUAGAAUUCCACGUGUAGCAGUGAAAUGCGUAGAUAUGUGGAGGAAUACCGAUGGCGAAGGCAGCCCCCUGGGAUAACACUGACGCUCAUGCACAAAAGCGUGGGGAGCAAACAGGUUUAGAUACCCCUGUAGUCCCUGUCUCUUAUAC
rnacentral:rRNA from 1 species